GCUGCUCCCGGCCACGCCCUAUGACGUCAUCCUCCACGCCCGCAACGCCCGCGGCGACAGCGCCCCCGUGAGGAUCACGGCGGCCACUUCUGAGGCGCCCGAGGAGCGUCCCCGGGACGCGGCGCCUCCCCCGUGGGCGCCCCCUGGCGGCCCGGAGGCCUCGGCGGAAGCGAAGGGUCCUCCCGUCCUGGAGGGGGCGCUGAGCGCGCUGGGCGGGGCUUUGCUGGCCGCCCUCGGGGGGGCGCUCUGCUACUUCCGGUGGGGGCGGCGGCGGCGGCGCCCCCUGGCGGCCACGCCCGACACCCCCCAGGUGACCCCCCAGGGGUCUCAGAGCCCCUCCCCCACCCACGGCUCCGCCCCCUGGGACCCCCCCAAGGGUGAG